ACACCCGUACCGUUAAACAACCAUAAAGGGGUUAUUCUUACCGUCCACUCGCUAUCUCACAGGCGGGCGUUAAUCCGGGUGGGAGCUGCCUCUAUAUCCUUUUCUCCUAUCGCACCUUUGCUCUUUUUUUCCUCGAUAGUGGGGAAUAAAGCAUACAUUCACCUGGAACACUAUGCCAUGAUUCGCAAGCUCAGAAUUAACCUCACUAAAGGACUAGCCUGCAGGAUAAACGAUUCGUCUUGUGCCAGCGCCGCGGUAAUACGGAGGGAGCUAGCGUUGUCGGAAUUCUGUGCGUAAAGCGCACGUAGGCGGCUUUUAAGUUAGAGGUGAAAGCCUGGAGCUCAACUCCAGAAUUCCUGUAAGACUGCAUCGCUUGAAUCCAAGAGAGGUGAGUGGAAUUCCGAGUGUAGAGGUGAAAUUCGUAGAUAUUCGGAAGAACAGCAGUGGCGAAGGCGGCUCACUGGCUUGGUAUUGACGCUGAGGUGCGAAGGCGUGGGGAGCAAACAGGAUUAGAUACCCUGGUAGUC
rnacentral:rRNA from 1 species